GUGCACUGUUCGUAACCUGUUUCAGAAACGCAGUCUGAAAUCUGGGUUCCAUUCCAGUGCUACAAGAACGUUCAGUGAGGCAGGGGAGUGGAGCUUCUCUGUGCAUAACUCCCUGUUCACUCUCUGGCAACAAGC
ensembl:snoRNA Small nucleolar RNA SNORA54